AAAAAAAAAAAAAAAAAAAAGUGUAUGCUUUCCUGCAGCUGUAGAAGAGGAAACAUAUUCUCCUUGUCUUUCUGGGGUUUCUUUUACCAGUAGUUAGGAGAGCUUGCAGUUUUAAGGUGGAGCAUUAGAAUUCUGUUAGCACUGGCCAAACAGCAGAACUGAGAUGCUUAAACCUUACAGUAUAGAAAAGGAAGAAAAAUAUUUUAACAAGUGGGAUGUGAAGCACGACUUGUUUUAUCUUUGAAACUUGUUUGGUAAACAGUCUCAAUUUAGUGAAAAACAAACACGUAAUGACUUUCUUUUUCUCUAGCUACUGCCUUCAUACGUACUCUGUUGAAACUGCUUUUCCUGCCCCUUAGCAUCCUCUUGGGCAGAUCAUAUAAUUUUUGGUCUUUGGAGAGGGUGGGUAUUAAAAACCCCAUCCAGUCCAUCCCAGUCCAAUUUUCAAAGUUUCAGCUCUGUUGAGGUAUAAAUGAUAUACAAAAUUGCAAGAGAUUUAAAUUGCAAGAGAUUUAAAGUGUACGUUGUGGUGAUUUAACAUUCAUAUACAAUGUGAAAGGUUUCUCUUCAUCUAGUUAACAUAUCCAUCAUCUCACUUGCUUUUUCUUUUUUUUGGGAAGAACAUUCAAGUUCUACUCUUUUAGCAAAUUUCAGCUAUGCUGUAUAGUGUUAUCAGCUAUAGUCACCAUGUUUUACAUCAAAUGCUCAGACUUUAUUCAUCUCACAGCCAAAAGGUUGUACCCUUUUACCAACACCUCCCUAUUUCUCCCAGCUUCUACUUUUCAACUCUCUUGUUUCUGUGAAUUUGACAUUUUUCUUUUUUUCUUUUUUGUCUUUUUGCCUUUUUCUAGAGCCGCUCCUGUGGCAUAUGGAGGUUCCCAGGCUAAGGGUCUAAUCGGAGCUGUAGCCACUGGCCUAUGCCAGAGCCACAGCAACUCGGGAUCUGAGCCGUGUCUGCAACCUACACCACAGCUCAUGGCAACGCCAGAUCCUUAACCCACCGAGCAAGGCCAGGGAUCGAACCUGCAACCUCAUGGUUCCUAGUUGGAUUCGUUAACCACUGCACCACGACGGGAACUCCGAAUUUGACAUUUUUUUAAAAAUACACAUACAAGUGAUAGCAUGUAAUAGCUCUCUCUGUCUGUCUUAUUUCGCUGAGCACAAUGCCCUAAGGUCCAUCAAUGUUGCUUUGUGUGGCAGGAUUUCUUCUUUUUCAUGGCUGAAUAAUAUUCCUUUGUAUGUAUGUACUACAUCUACUUUAUCCAUUCAUCUGUUGACAGACAUUUAGGUUGUUUCCAUAUCUUGGCUAUUGUGAAUAGUGGUACAGUGAAUGUGGGGGCAUAGGUUACUCCUUGAUACCCUGUUUUCAUUUCUUUUGAUAUACACCCAGAGAUGGCAAUCUCAGUCCAGUUGAUCAGUUCUAAAACUUUUCAUGCUCUCCUCCCCACCACAGUCAGUCCUGGGCUCAAGGACAUACUGGACACCUUCUUCAUUCCUCACUUCCCUCUUUGGGGGUUCCCUGUCCCUCUCUAGUGUCACCCUGAGACCACCUUCAUCAAUGGAGCCCUCAUGGGAAAGGCUUAAGCCAGUUGUCUUCUGAGGGCUCCACUCAUCCCAAGGGAAACUUAUCUUUCCUGGUCACAUUCAAAAGUAGGAGUGCAGACUUCCCCACCUGCUGCUGUUUUUGCAUUUCCACCAUCCCUCUCAAAUAGGACACAGGCUGCCCGGGACACAGCCAACUCAGAAGCAGAUGCCACUGGCACCUUCAUGUGGUCACCCUUAAUCUCAGCUGGUAGUCCCUACUCAUCCAGCUUGUUGUGAGGGUGAGGUGAGCACUGCCUUUUCUCCCCUUUCAGGAAGGGAAGGAAAAACCCCCACAAAACCAUGAUUCUUGUGAUUUUUUCCUUCAAACUGCUGAUUUUCAGCUGGGGGAGGUGGGGAAGGGCAGAAUCCUAGAGCAGUUCUGCUACCUUUUAAUAAGUCCUACUGGAGUCUGUCUUUCGAGUUCCUUCCAGCCUCUUUAGAACAUGGUGGUGGAGGCGUGUGUGUGAGGGGAGGGGAUCAUGGCAGGGUGGGAGGCUGGGGACUUAGUAUUUGUUGUUUUCAGUGUAGAACUUCAACUGGAGUUGGAGACAGAGCAUCUCUCUUUAGAAAUCCUGUUCCAUUUGCUUUGCAAAUUCUCACUCUUCAUCGCAGAAAGAGAUCAGACUGUCAGACUCUUUUUCUCAAACCUCAAACCUUCUUUCCAAAUUUUACUCUCAGUUGGCAAUUUUGCUUCCUAUUUCUCUGAGAAAAUAGAGGCAAUCGCAAGAGAACAGCUCCCACACCCAUCCCCGCCUCUUGCCUACCCACCCACACCUGUGCUCCUGGGCUCUGCCUUCUCACUCUGAGGGCAGGGGUGUGUGUGUGUGUGUGUGUGUUUGUGUGUGUGUUUAAGAGAGACACGAGGGAGGAUGAGGAUGAACAGAGGGAAAAAAUAACAAACUUAAUUUUAUGCAUAAUGUUAGAGUAAAUUUAAAAGUAACCUGAGGGACAUUAUGAACUUAUGCUAACCAAGUUAAUAUACGUGUACAGAAAAACAGAAUAGGUUGUGAGUAACAUUACAGGGAUUAGUGAUAAUUUUUUUGACAUACUAAAGGAUGGUACUUCAUUUGCUUUCUAUGUUACCUAAGAUUGCUAGAUGUUAUCUGGAAGUCUUAGCAAUACAUAUGUUUUUAAAAUGUGCAAAAUUAGCACUGGCCUCCUCCAUCCUUCUCCAAGCUUCUUCAGCCACUGCAUUCUCCAUUUCCUCUUGCUAUCUUCAUCUCCCCAGGGCAAGGUUCACAACUUUUUUAAAUAUCCAGAGCCACUGGAGGUGUGGGGAAAGGCAUGGAGACUGAUGAUUUCACAGUCGACCAUCCCCGUGGAUCAGCUCCUCGAGGAAUGAGAUCAGAUUAAGGACCCAGACAGGGCAGAGGGAUCAGCCUUGCCAUCACUUUCUCAUCCCCGGGUUUAGGGUUUGUAAAAAGUGACACCUAGGGAGUCAGUGAGACUCUUUCCUUUGGGGAAGGAGAGAGAAGAGGAGGAAGAAGGACUUGCUGUGCAUUAGGCAGUUCACCAGUACCUGUUAACAGGUGAAGAAAUUGGUCUCUGAGACACUGCCACCUGUCUAAAGUCAUACGGCUGGGAUGAGAUGGAGCUGGGGUUUAAACCCAGGUCUGCUUGUCUCCAGUCCUACCACACUCUAAUUGUUAGCUAUAAUUAGCAAGUGUUUCUUUAGACAAAGCCAAAAUGAAACUCAGGAGUGAGAUGGUGCUGGUAGCAGCCCGUGCCCUCUCUUCACCUUCCCACAACUGAAGUGACAUCAAGAGGAAAGUUAGUUGUCAGGGCAAAGUGGGAGUGGGCAGAGCCGAGCCCAGCUGAAACUGUGAAAUGGGCAGACAAGUCACCUGCAGCCAGUUUCUUCCAUCACUCGAAAGACACAACCCACAGCGACCCCAAGGUUUCCUCUCUCUUCAGCUUUGUGGAACUGCCCUGCAGUACUCCAUACCCAGCAACAAGCUCUCAAGGUUCACAACUCUUUUUACUCUGAAGUUAUCAGAUCUCAGGGAACAAAAACUAAACCAUAGAAUUUAGUAUCAAACUUUCAUUUUAAAGCUGCAAUUUUUAGUUUCUCUCAACAUUUGGAGGCUUUGAGGCACCUACAGUACAUUUGUCCUGACAAACAAGGCAUUAACUUCUCUUCCUGGGGAAAUGGAGACAGAAUAUAGAUGGCUUUAAAAUAAAAGAUUAUGUGACCUGGGGCACAAAGUGCAUGAAGUACUCUAUAAGAAUUUAGAUGGUCUUAUGCUCACAUGAUAUGGUUUGUUCUGAGAAGGUAUGUAUAUGUGCACACAUGCAGCACAUACAGAACAUCAGGAGUGGAGGCUCCAAAAUUGGGGUCUUCACCUCAAGUUGGAAAAGAAACUGGCUAAAGAUCAGACUUCGUGAAAAUUGAGUUGAAUAGGGACUUAAGCCAUUUUGGGCUGUGCAUGAAAAUUUGAUGAGACAUUCUAAUGGGCUUCUAUGCAGCCUUAAAAAAUGAACAAGCCAGGUGCAGAGUAUUUUGUUUACUGUGAAAAGCAAGGUACAAAGGGUUUGUGUAGUGGAUCAGCAAGUGUGUGAGAAGUUUGGAAUGGAUAGGAUAGAAUACCUCUAGAAGGACAUGCAAGGAAAUAUUAGCAAUGACUGCCUUCUGUGGGAUCUGGGGCAUUGGGAGGGGGGUGUAGAGUUUUAUCUUUCACCACAUGCUUUUGUACUUCUUGAUUUUAAAAACAAUAUACAUAUUAAAAACCACACUUU
rnacentral:lncRNA from 1 species